UGAUGGCUUGCGCCCCCCUUGGAUGCCUCCCGACGUCCCUCUCUCGCCUAUAAUUUCACAAAUAUUCCGAAAACCAUAAGAGCACUCUAGAAACACUUUUUCCGCCAUUGCAAAUCUCUAUUCCGAUGGGAGGCCAUCUAAACCUCCGUUCCGGUUAUGUGUCGAAAGGGAGAUCAAUCACAGAGGGCCUCUACAUCAACCUUGUUGCCCUCACCACAAUGUGUGAGUAGGUCACCAUAGACCUACGGGUCCGUAGGUAGCACCUAGAUGGCAAUCUCUCUCUCUUGUGAUCUUUAAUACCAUGUUGUUCGCAUCUUCGCUUUGAUCUAUCCGAUGUAAUCACCUUGUAUGGUGUGUUUGUUGGGAUCUGAUGAAUUGUGGGUUUAUGUUCAGAUUAUUCUGUUGGAAUUAUGCCCUAGAGGCAAUAAUAAAUAUAGUUAUUAU
rnacentral:lncRNA from 1 species